CGAAGCUCGUCACCACACAGCAAACACUAGUUCAGUCUCUGCUUAUGACGGCGGGUUAAAGAGUGCUUUCUGUCUCCAUCCCUGCAGAAGUGAGUGAAGCUGCUGCUGAGAGGACUGAGAAUGAGUCGCCUUCUAAAGUGUCUGAACGUGUUUACUGUUGUGUGUCUGCUGAGCGGUCCAGCUCUAACAACAGAGAUAGUUCCUUGGCACAGUCCUUGGGGGACUGUAGCUGACUUCACCAGGGAAGGAUGCUCACACUGGGAGCUAAAGCCUGAGUUUUCUCUUCCUGCUCUGGACCAAACCACCGUCUGCCUCAGCCUGAAGCUCCAGGACUGGGGUGACUCACCUUGGACGGCCUUCAUGUACCGUCACCCUGAGAAGCAGCACGCUGAGCUGGGUUUGGGGGGGAGAGACGGCCAUUUGAUGGUCUUGGUGUUUGGUGAGCAAUGGAAAACGGAGCAGAAUGACAUUAAUCUGUUGGAUUGGUCCUCGCUCUGUGUCACCUGGUCACAGAAAACAGGCAGGCCUGUGCUUUACGUCAAUGGAAAACCAAAGAAUCUCAAAACAGACGCUUCUUCGACUCCUUCAUUGCGAAGCCCAAUUGCCCCGAAUGGAACACUCACUCUCGGUGCUGGACACUCCAUCAACAGUGGGAAUAUUCAAGUCCUUCCAAACUCUAAAAUGUUGGGGAAAGUGUCCUUGUUUCGGAUGUGGUGGACGGAGCGCACUGAAGAGGAAAUAUCAUCAAAGAACUGCAUCGAGGGGAACCUGAUAACGUGGGAAUCACAAACCUGGGACACAAGGCCCUGCGCUCCCAUCCCUGAUCCCAGCCUCCAGUGUGAGUGGUCCUUAUUUCAAGUGAGGCUGGUGUUUGCCAUUCUGCGUCACGACGAGACAAAUACUGAUCUCUCUACAGCCAAAGAAAUGGCACUUAACUUGGUAAACACAUUUUAUCUACAUUUUCUUUUUAAAGAAUUCUAAAUUAAUUUUCGAUAGCACUUGGAGAUGACCAUUGUUGUAAUUUGCGCCAUUAAAAUAAAUGUACUUAAGUUUUGUAUGUUUCCA
rnacentral:lncRNA from 1 species